rfam:Oryza sativa Japonica Group DNA, chromosome 2, cultivar: Nipponbare, complete sequence.
AAUAAGUGCAGCCGUGGAUAUCCGUGCCCAACGUUUGACCGUCCGUCUUAUUUGAAAAAUUUGUGAAAAAUUUGAAAAUAUUUAGUCACACAUAAAGUACUAUUCAUGUUUUAUCAUCUAAUAGCAAUAAAAAUAUUAAUCAUAAAAAAUUUUCAAAUAAGACGAACGGUCAAACGUUGAACGUAAAUAGUGUAAAACUGUACUUAUU